rnacentral:tRNA from 1 species
GCCUGGCUGGCUCAGCCAGUAGAGAAUGAGACUCUUGAUCUCAGGGUCAUGAGUUCAAAGCUGCAUGCUGGGCA